AUUGAACGCUGGCGGCAGGCCUAACACAUGCAAGUCGAACGAGAGGCGGACGGGUGGGUAAUGUCUGGGAAACUGCCUGACGGAGGGGGAUAACUAGUGGAAAUGGUAGCAAAUACCGCAAAACAUACGAUGUGCCCAGAUGGGAGUAGCUAGUGGGUGGGGUAAAGGCUCACCUAGGCGAUGAUCUCUAGCUGGGCUGAGAGGAUGACCAGCCACACUGGAACUGAGACACGGUCCAGACUCCUACGGGAGGCAGCAGUGGGGAAUAUUGCACAAUGGGCGCAAGCCGGAUGCAGCCAUGCCGCGUGUAUGAAGAAGGCCUUCGGGUUGUAAAGUACUUUCAGCGGGGAGGCGUUACCCGCAGAAGAAGCACCGGCUAACUCCGUGCCAGCAGCCGCGGUAAUUC
rnacentral:rRNA from 1 species